GACGAACGCUGGCGGCGUGCUUAACACAUGCAAGUCGAACGGAAAGGCCUCUUUCUGGGGGUACUCGAGUGGCGAACGGGUGGGUAACACAUGAGUAACCUGCCUUUGACUUUGGGAGAACUUCAGUAAAGAGGGGCGAAUACCGGAUAGGAGAUCUAUCGGCACGGUGGGGGUUGGAGAGUUUCGGCGGUUGGGGAUGGCCUCGCGGCUUAUCAGCUUGUCGGUGGAGUGGUGGCUUACCAAGGCGUUGACGGGUAGCCGGCCUGUGGGGGUGACCGGCCGCCUUGGGACCUACGUGCGGCCCCGGCUCCUACGCGUGGCAGCAGUGCGGAAUCUUGAACGAGCGGUGGCAGCCUGAUGCAGAAGCGCCGUGUGCCGGAUGACGCUCUUAGGGUUGUAAACCGAAUUCGCUCAUGACGAAGCUUUGUGUGACGGUAGUGGGUAAAGAAGCACCGGCUAACUACGUG
rnacentral:rRNA from 1 species